GAUGAACGCUGGCGGCGUGCCUAAUACAUGCAAGUCGAGCGGACGGACGAGAAGCUUGCUUCUCUGCUGUUAGCGGCGGACGGGUGAGUAACACGUGGCUAACCUACCUAUAAGACUGGGGUAACUUCGGGAAACCGUAGCUAAUACCGGAUCAUAUUUUGAACCGCAUGGUUCAACAGUGAAAGACGGUCUUGCUGUCACUUAUAGAUGGAUCCGCGCUGCAUUAGCUAGUUGGUAAGGUAACGGCUUACCAAGGCAACGAUGCAUAGCCGACCUGAGAGGGUGAUCGGCCACACUGGAACUGAGACACGGUCCAGACUCCUACGGGAGGCAGCAGUAGGGAAUCUUCCGCAAUGGGCGAAAGCCUGACGGAGCAACGCCGCGUGAGUGAUGAAGGUCUUCGGAUCGUAAAACUCUGUUAUUAGGGAAGAACAGAUGUGUAAGUAACUGUGCACAUCUUGACGGUACCUAAUCAGAAAGCCACGGCUAACUACGUG
rnacentral:rRNA from 1 species